rnacentral:rRNA from 1 species
AUUGAACGCUGGCGGCAUGCCUUACACAUGCAAGUCGAACGGCAGCACGGGGCAACCUGGUGGCGAGUGGCGAACGGGUGAGUAAUGCAUCGGAGCGUACCUUUCAGUGGGGGAUAACGUAGAGAAAGUUACGCUAAUACCGCAUAUUCUGUGAGCAGGAAAGCAGGGGAUUGCAAGACCUUGCGCUGAUUGAGCGGCCGAUGUCAGAUUAGCUAGUUGGUGAGGUAAAGGCUCACCAAGGCGACGAUCUGUAGCGGGUCUGAGAGGAUGAUCCGCCACACUGGAACUGAGACACGGUCCAGACUCCUACGGGAGGCAGCAGUGGGGAAUUUUGGACAAUGGGGGCAACCCUGAUCCAGCCAUGCCGCGUGAGUGAAGAAGGCCUUCGGGUUGUAAAGCUCUUUCGGCCGGGAAGAAAUCGCACGGGCUAAUACCCUGUGUGGAUGACGGUGCCGGAAUAAGAAGCACCGGCUAACUACGUGCCAGCCGCCGCCGUAACAC